AUUGAACGCUGGCGGCAGGCCUAACACAUGCAAGUCGAGCGGACGUAGGGGGCUUGCUCCUGGAUUCAGCGGCGGCCGGGUGGGUAAUGCCUAGGAAUCUGCCUUGUAUUUGGGGAUCACGUCCGUAUACGGGCGCUAAUCUCGCAUAGGACCUUUUGUCGAAUUUGGGGGAUCUUCCGUCCUCACCCUUUCUUCUGUGACUGGGUCGGAUUAGCUAGUUGGUUUGGUUAAGGGCUACCAAGGCGACGAUCCGUAACUGGUCUGAGAGGAUGAUCAGGCACACUGGAACUGAGACACGGUCCAGACUCCGACGGGAGGCAGCAGUAGGGAAUAUUACGCAAUGGGCGAAAGCCUGAUCGAGCAAAGCCGCGUGAGUGAAGAAGGUCUUAGGAUUGGAAAACAAUGUAAGUAGGGAGGAAGGAAAGUAAGUUAAAACAUGACUGUAUUGACGGUACCAACAGAAGAAGCACCGGCUAACUUCGUG
rnacentral:rRNA from 1 species